rnacentral:lncRNA from 1 species
UGAGCCAACUGAGGAGGAGUACGGAAGAGGGAAGUGGGCUAGAAGCAGGAACACGAAGACAAGGAGACGCAGGCCAGCUGUGGUGUGGGUGUGGCUAGUGCCGGGGAACAGUCUCUGAGGUGCAGAAAGUUGGCUGUGACUCAGACAUCAUUCUGAGCUACCACUCCACACUCUGGACCCCACAGCAACCGCUGGUUGGUCCAUUGUGUUCAGGUAUUUCAACAGGAACCCUGGCAGCUCCUGAACGUCUAUGGAAAAGAGGGGAGAAGAGCACCUUCCGUUGAGAGUCCUGAUGGCCACUCGAGGCCCUGCCGAUAAUUAGUGGCAAGCUGGGACUGGCGCUCAGGGAUCUAGUGCAGGACAGUAUGGGACAGGAUUUAGGUCCCAGAA